AGAGUUUGAUUAUGGCUCAGGACGAACGCUGGCGGCGUGCUUAACACAUGCAAGUCGAACGGAAAGGCCCUGCUUUUGUGGGGUGCUCGAGUGGCGAACGGGUGAGUAACACGUGAGUAACCUGCCCUUGACUUUGGGAUAACUUCAGGAAACUGGGGCUAAUACCGGAUAGGAGCUCCUGCUGCAUGGUGGGGGUUGGAAAGUUUCGGCGGUUGGGGAUGGACUCGCGGCUUAUCAGCUUGUUGGUGGGGUAGUGGCUUACCAAGGCUUUGACGGGUAGCCGGCCUGAGAGGGUGACCGGCCACAUUGGGACUGAGAUACGGCCCAGACUCCUACGGGAGGCAGCAGUGGGGAAUAUUGCGCAAUGGGCGGAAGCCUGAUGCAGCAACGCCGCGUGCGGGAUGACGGCCUUCGGGUUGUAAACCGCUUUCGCCUGUGACGAAGCGUGAGUGACGGUAAUGGGUAAAGAAGCACCGGCUAACUACGUGCCAGCAGCCGCGGUGAUACGUAGGGUGCGAGCGUUGUCCGGAUUUAUUGGGCGUAAAGGGCUCGUAGGUGGUUGAUCGCGUCGGAAGUGUAAUCUUGGGGCUUAACCCUGAGCGUGCUUUCGAUACGGGUUGACUUGAGGAAGGUAGGGGAGAAUGGAAUUCCUGGUGGAGCGGUGGAAUGCGCAGAUAUCAGGAGGAACACCAGUGGCGAAGGCGGUUCUCUGGGCCUUUCCUGACGCUGAGGAGCGAAAGCGUGGGGAGCGAACAGGCUUAGAUACCCUGGUAGUCCACGCUGUAAACGGUGGGUACUAGGUGUGGGGUCCAUUCCACGGGUUCCGUGCCGUAGCUAACGCUUUAAGUACCCCGCCUGGGGAGUACGGCCGCAAGGCUAAAACUCAAAGGAAUUGACGGGGCCCCGCACAAGCGGCGGAGCAUGCGGAUUAAUUCGAUGCAACGCGUAGAACCUUACCUGGGUUUGACAUGGAUCGGGAGUGCUCAGAGAUGGGUGUGCCUCUUUUGGGGUCGGUUCACAGGUGGUGCAUGGCUGUCGUCAGCUCGUGUCGUGAGAUGUUGGGUUAAGUCCCGCAACGAGCGCAACCCUUGUUCACUGUUGCCAGCACGUUAUGGUGGGGACUCAGUGGAGACCGCCGGGGUCAACUCGGAGGAAGGUGGGGAUGACGUCAAGUCAUCAUGCCCCUUAUGUCCAGGGCUUCACGCAUGCUACAAUGGCUGGUACAGAGAGUGGCGAGCCUGUGAGGGUGAGCGAAUCUUGGUAAGCCGGUCUCAGUUCGGAUUGGGGUCUGUAACUCGACCUCAUGAAGUCGGAGUCGCUAGUAAUCGCAGAUCAGCAACGCUGCGGUGAAUACGUUCCCGGGGCUUGUACACACCGCCCGUCAAGUCAUGAAAGUUGGUAACACCCGAAGCCGGUGGCCUAACCGUUGUGGGGGAGCCGUCGAAGGUGGGACUGGUGAUUAGGACUAAGUCGUAACAAGGUAUC
rnacentral:rRNA from 1 species